AAAACUUCUAUUCAACAUAAAUUAGGUUUGUAAUGAUUGUGGUGUAUGUAUUCAGAUGAAAUUAUUUGAGAUGAUGUUGCUCUGAGUGUAUCCACACCAGGCAAGCUGAAACGUUGGCUUCACAAUGGUGGGAAUCGAACCCUCGUCCUUUGGCUUGCUAGUGCAAUGCUCACCAACUGAGCUACGACUGGGUCAGGCCGGUUUGAGUAUAGGU